UACGUAGGGACCGAGCGUUGUCCGGAAUCAUUGGGCGUAAAGAGCUCGUAGGCGGUUUGUCGCGUCUGCCGUGAAAGUCCGGGGCUCAACUCCGGAUCUGCGGUGGGUACGGGCAGACUAGAGUGAUGUAGGGGAGACUGGAAUUCCUGGUGUAGCGGUGAAAUGCGCAGAUAUCAGGAGGAACACCGAUGGCGAAGGCAGGUCUCUGGGCAUUAACUGACGCUGAGGAGCGAAAAGCAUGGGGGAGCGAACAGG
rnacentral:rRNA from 1 species